UUUUUUCAGCCCUGGAAGAUCAGCCUUGAAAACAUGAGCCUCUGGGGUCUCCUUCCAGUCUAUGCGUGUGCUGGCAAAUGCUGAUGUUUCUUUGGCGACCUCUGAACGUGGGGCUGAUAGGGCUGUGCUUGUGAAGGGAAAGUCCUGGAAAGGGUCCCAGAUGUCAAGAGAGAAAGGAUCAAAGACGUUGGUUCUUCGGCCACCAAAGAGGGAGCUUGGGAUGAGAGACAUUUUCUUGGUUUCUUGUUGAGGUAUUUGAGACGAAAGGGAAAACAAGGUUUGCAACGUAAAAGCUAGCUUAUUGUAGAAUUAGAU
rnacentral:lncRNA from 1 species